UUUGAAUUUAAAGCCAAGAACAUCAAGAAGAAGAAAGUGAGCAUUAUGGUGUCAGUGGAUGGUGUGAAAGUGAUUCUGAAGAAGAAGAAAAAGCUUCUUUUAUUGCAGAAAAAGGAGUGGACGUGGGAUGAAAGCAAGAUGCUGGUGAUGCAGGACCCCAUCUACAGAAUCUUCUACGUCUCUCAUGAUUCCCAAGACUUGAAGAUCUUCAGCUAUAUUGCUCGAGAUGGUGCCAGCAACGUCUUUAGGUGUAACGUCUUUAAAUCCAAGAAGAAGAGCCAAGCCAUGCGGAUUGUCCGGACGGUGGGGCAGGCCUUUGAGGUCUGCCACAAGCUGAGCCUGCAGCAUACACAGCAGAAUGCAGAUGGCCAGGAAGACGGGGAGAGUGAGAGGAACAGCAACAGCUCGGGGGACCCAGGCCGCCAGCUCACCGGAGCAGAGAGGGCCUCCACAGCCACCGCGGAGGAGACGGACAUCGACGCAGUGGAUGUCCCACUCCCAGGGAAUGACAUCUUAGAAUUCAGCCGCGGGGUAACUGACCUGGACGCUGUAGGGAAGGAAGGAGGCUCCCACACGGGCUCCAAGGGCCCCCCGCAGCCCCAGGAGCCCGAGCUCACAGCCCCGCCCAGGACACUGCUUCCCUCUUCCUCCUCAAAGCCCCCAGGCUUGGGCACAGGGACGCCGCUGUCCACACACCACCAGAUGCAGCUCCUCCAGCAGCUCCUCCAGCAGCAGCAGCAGCAGACGCAAGUGGCUGUGGCCCAGGUUCACCUGCUGAAGGACCAGUUGGCUGCCGAGGCUGCCGCAAGGCUGGAGGCCCAGGCUCGCGUGCACCAGCUUCUGCUGCAGAACAAGGACAUGCUCCAACACAUCUCCCUGCUGGUCAAGCAGGUGCAGGAGCUGGAAUUGAAGCUGUCAGGACAGAAUGCCAUGGGCUCCCAGGACAGUUUGCUGGAGAUCACCUUCCGUUCCGGAGCCCUGCCGGUGCUCUGUGACCCCACGACCCCUAAGCCCGAGGACCUGCACUCGCCGCCCCUGGGCGCGGGCUUGGCUGACUUUGCGCACUCGGCGGGCAGCCCCUUAGUUGACCACAGCAUGUUUGAAAACUUGAAUGCAGCCCUCACUCCAAAGCUCCAGGCCAGCCGCUCCGUCCCUCACUUGUCCAGGCCUGCGGCCCCCAGCCCUGCAGAGGCUGGUGGGCCAGGACUCUGGGUGGGCAGCAGCCAGCACCUCAGGAACCUGGGCAAAGCCAUGGGGGCCAAAGUGAAUGACUUCCUGCGAAGAAAGGAGCCCUCUGGCCUGGGCGGUGUGGGUGUGAUGGAGAUCAACAAGACGGCAGGGGCCCAGCUGGCCAGUGGGGCAGAGGAGGCCUCAGGGGCCUGGCUGGAGGACGAGAGGUCAAUGCUGCAAGAAGCAUUUCCUCGGCUGGAUCCUCCACCCCCCAUCACCAGAAAGCGAACCCCUCGGGCCCUGAAGACCACUCAGGACAUGCUGAUUUCAUCACAACCUGUCCUAAGCAGUCUGGAGUAUGGGACAGAGCUGCCACCUGGGCAGCCCCAGGACUCACCUCCUGCUGUCCAGCCUGUCCCGGCAGAUUCUUCACAGCCAGAGGCCACUGUGGGAAUGGGAGAGAGGGGCGAGGCUGUACCCAAUGGAGAGGUUUCCCUGUCAGUACCUGACCUGAUCCAUAAGGACAGCCAGGAGGAAGCCAAGCUAAAGACGACUGAGCACAGAAGGGCUUCCUCCCCCGGCCUCAUCGAGAGGAAUGGCCUCAAACUCAGCUUGAGCACCGGCAACCUGCCUGAGUCCUGGGAGGAUGGCAGCUUCCCUCCUCGGGCACGGACCUCCAGCCCUGACAAUGAGGGCCCUCACCCAGACUUGCUGUCCUUUGAGUAGAGCUCUUCUCUCCCCAGCCUGGCACCAUCCUACUCCUGCCUCUGCCUUCUCCUCCCCUGCGCAUGCUGGCCCUUGUCCUAGCUCCACAAUGCCCUUGGUCUUCCUCAUACAAGACACCAGCAGAGGACCUGUCCUCCCAGUUAGAGUCUAUGUGCAGAAUGGUGAAAGGACUCAGUGCUAUCCUGAGCCUGAUUUUCUGUCAGCUCUUCUGGGCAUGGGCUAGAGCACUUCCACCCCUGAGUUUGUCCCACCUUCCCCCGGGUUGCUGCCAGCUCCCUGGCUUUCCUCUCCCUUCCAUGCCUUGGUUCCUUCUCUGUCUUCCCUGAUGGGCCCAGAGGCCCCUGCCUCGGGGAACAAGGCUGGACAAGGAAUGAUGGGUUUGGCUUGAUGGUGGGCCCUGGCCCAGAAAGCCACACACCCUGACCACAGCCCAGCCAUGGCUCCUUCUGGUCCCAAGACAGUGCUGGCCCCUGUUUGCCAUCUUUCCUCUGCCCUGGAGUGGGGGCCAGACGAGAUGCUUCCCAAACCUAAGACCUUGAGUGUUCACACGGGGUUUGAACCCUGUCAACCAGGGUUCCCAAGGUUUUCCCCCAGCUGUCAGAGGUAGAAUACAAAGUAAGUCUCCCUGCCUGUCUGGGAGUGGCACCUGGGAGAAUGUUGUGACCAGCUCCGUGCACAGAGGGAAAGAUGAGGCUUCCCUGGCCAUGUUUGUGAAGAAGUGGCCAGGGAUAUUCUGAUUUUGCCUUGGGGGGUGGUGGGCUUAGAACUCAGAGGUGGCUUUGACAGUCAGGGUUUGUCCUAAGAAAACCCGGAGCAGAGCAGUGGAGAAGAGUGUGAAGAUAGGACAGAACUGUUACUGGGGAUCGGAGCAGCUCCAGGGGCCGCUCUGCAGCCCAAGCGGUGCAGUUCCAGGCCUGGAUGCAGUACGUGUGUGAGCCGGGGACACCUGCGUGAGGUUGGAGUAUGAUGAGGACUGUGAGGCCAUGAAGUUUUUGUUAGAUGGGGGCACCUCGUGCUGAAGGCACUGGCCUCCUGCAGCCCUGCGCCUCCCUGGAGCAGGCCAGAGGCAGUCCUGCUCCUGCGAUUCCUGUGGCCUCCCCUUUUCUGUUCAUGGUUUUGCUUCCCACCCUUGAACUCUGCAACGCCCGGGGCUCGCAUCCCAGUUCAUCUCAUCACCAGGCCCCUGGCUCUCUCCUCGCCGCCUCUGCUGCACGGAUCAUCCACACUAAAAUUUCCUGGUCCAGCCUCCCUAUGGUGAGAACUCAGUGACGGCUUCCCAGAUGUUGGCCAGGGGCUUUGCCCAGUGGAGGUCCUUACAGAGCCAUUGGGACCAGCUCUCCUGAGACGCAAAUCCUCUUUGUCCAGCUUACCUCCAGCUGCUGCCAUGAUAAAUAGUCCAGCCCAAGGGGCCUGGGGAGGUGCCGCCGUGCAGAACGAGUCACUGCGUUUUUAAAACACAAGGAAGUGAGCUUGAGGAAAUAUUUAAGGACCACUCAAAUACCAGGCUGUGUUCUCUCCCAUGGGAGUUGCCUGAAGAAUCUUGUGAACAUUGCCAGUAAUUUUCCUUUGGAAUAGACCAAAACCAAAACAUAACCCAAGCAACUUCCUAACAAACUGAAAUUUUAUUUUAUUUUUGCUGUGUUUAACCAGCCAGCUGUUCCCAGUGCCGUGUGCUUCACCACCUUCUUCCUUAAGGCUUCCCUCCACGUGUGCCACCUUCUCCUGUUCAGGCUCGCGUAAGUCUGGAGUGUUCAGCUGUGUCUGAGGAUAUCUCACAGCAGCUUAGAGCAGCUCCUGCGAUCAUCCCGGGAGGAUCAUCCUGGGAGCUGAUAAGGGAGCAGCCUGGCCUUCCAAGAUGGAGGAGGAGAGUGAACUCAGCUGUCCCUGUGAAGGGCUUGUGGCUUCAGCAAAAUGCAUGAGCUCCCUCUUUAUCCUGAGCCCACAAGGAAUGGCCCCGGUGCUGGACAGGAGAGUUCAGAAUAAGUGUGGGCUGUUCCAUUGUAUCACUCCCUGGCCAUCUCCUGGCACCUGGGAAAUUCUGUUCCAGUCAACCCUCUUAGCUCACCUUGAAUCCUGGCUCCUGUGUGUCAAGUACUAUCCAUCUUGCAGCAGACCUGCAAGGCACGACAUGGUAGGGGCUGAUCUGGAGAGUUCAUCUGGGACGUGACUUCACAUGUAAUGAAGCCGUGGGGGGGGGGGGCUGAGGUCUGUGGCCCUGCCAGUGCCUGUCCACACCCCCUUAACAUCAGUCAGCCGCCAUGUAGGUGGCAUACACUGCAGCCAGGCUGGAAGGCUUGCUGUGAUGUGUGUAGGCAGGGUGUCAGGCAGGUUCUCCUUGCUCCAGGUUGCCUGUGGCUGGCAGGCACCAUCCUAGGCUCUGCUGCAGUGUCCCAGGACCCCCAACCUACUCAGAAUCACUUUCCUACCUUUGUCCCAGGCAGUCCCUCUGCCUGGUCACCCUGCUACCUUCCUUUCUCUUUUCUUUGACUUUGGCAGGCUAUGUUAAUCCAUCCUUCAAAUUUCAGCUCAGGCAUCCUUUCCUCCCGGAUGGCUUCCCCACAGCACCCCACCAAGCCUUUGGUCCCUCAUAGCAUCCUGUGUUCCUUCAUCCUGGCACCCACCACACACCCUGAGCUCAGGGGCAGGAACCAUGCCACCUUCCUCUCUGAGCUCUCAGCCCCCAACCUAGGGCCUGGCAUAUUGCUGGAGUUCAGAGAUGUGCUUUGAACAGAGCUGAACUAUAGUUUAACUUGUGUGGAACAGACCAGACUGAGCUCUCGCUGAGGUCUGGGGUAGACCAGCACUACUUCUCUCAGCCCACUUCCCCAUGGUCUCUCCCCACGGGCAGCCUCUGCACCCGAUUGUGGACGGCACAGAGAAGAACUGAGGGUGGCCAUUUUCAAAGUGGAAAAUGAUUAAUGGGUGAGCGUGUUGCUCACUUACCAGAGCCUUCAUUAAUUCUGUUCCCUGGACAGGUGCAGCUCCGUCUUGCCAUGUACCUGGCAGAAGCAAGCACGUCUGUCCAGCAAAAAGGGUCGGUCACGCGUCAGUCCCAGGCACCUGUCUAGCGGUGGGAGCUGCUUACACUGCUGAGUUCCAAUUCUUACUAUUUUAUAGUUCACAGUUUCAGAUGUUGCUGUUCAGGGGUGCUUUGCUGUGUCUGUGGGGCUUCUAUAUAAGCCAGAUAUUGUGUUAAUCAGUUCAUACACAUUAUCUGAAUUGUUUUUCUCAAUAAUCCUUCAAGGAAGGCCUUACUAAGCCUGUGUUCCAGAUACAGACGUAAUUCUACUGUGUUUAAAGAGAUUCACACACAUGCUCUUGGCAGUCCCCCCUCUCGUGAGGUAGAUAUUUCAGCCUGAUCUUAUAGAUGGGCACACUUAAAUGAGGUGACGAGUUAGCAGAGAAGGGCUCAGCAUUCAGACCUGAGUGCCGCCUCUCCCAAACACAGCAGUUUCCACCACAGCAGUCUGACAAUUCCAGGACGUGUUUAUGGCCCAGAAACACUUCUGAGUUGGACCUUCUCUAAGGAUAAGUGUAAUUUUAUUAAACACUGAAUAUUCACUUGGGAUAGGAAUUCAGAGACCCAUUCCCAAGUCCCUUCAUUUUAUAAAAGAAGAAACAACAAAGAUCCCGCUUUUAAACGUGUGAGCCUGUGCCAGCACCAUCCUAUCCAAUGCCCACGGUGACCCUCUGAGGUUAGAGUCAUCAUCCCAUUUUCUAGGUGAGGCUGACCAGAGGCUUAGGAAGCUUAGCAAUUUGCCUAUAGUCACUUUACCAGUGAGUGACAGAACUGACAUCUAGAAAACAUUCAUUCUUGAGGGUUUUAGUAAGAAUGUACUCUGAACUAAGAAUUUCAGCUGAGGUAGGAGUGGCCGGAGUACUUCUAGGGCAUUUUGAAUUGCAAAUUCAGGGAAGUUUCUCAUACACUAAUCCUGUUAGCAACAUUGGAGGGUAGGCCUUCAAUUGGAAGGUGAGUACCGUUUAGAGAAUCCCCGCUAAAAGAAUAUUUCAGAUUUUAUUGCUGCUGUGGUUACUCGACAGUACUUAAAAAAAAAAAAAAAAAAAAAAAUAGCAGUACUGGUUUUUUGAUGACUGUCUGACCCCUUGUGGCUGUAUUUAGGUACUGCAUUUCCCUUCUGCAAAAAAGAUUUUCAGGGAGAUGGGAGGGGAAGGAGUGGUUUGAUGGAGGGAGGGUGAAGGGUGAGACCACACCUAUGAAACACAUUGCAAAGGUACAAGUCAAAUCUAUCAAGUAUAGAACACAAAUGUCUUAACACAGUGAUUAACUGAAUGAGGUGAAAGCUGUGUUGAUUGGUUAGAUGUAAACACUCCGAUUUGUACAAAGAAUCAACACAUGGAAUCCCACACAGGCAUAAAUGUAUUCAUGAUCUAUGUAUAUAUGACUUGGUAAAAGGGGUGAAAAAGGAUUUUCAUGACAAAACUAACAUUAAUUUAUUAGAUAAAUAUCUCCAUUUCAAAAAGCAUAUUUUUCUGAAGAUCAUUCAACAAAUAGUAUGUUGGAGGGGUGCCUGUAGCUCAGUGGGUAGGGCGUCGGCCACAUACACCAAGGCUGGUGGGUUCAAACCUGGCCCAGGCCAGAUAAAAAAACAAUGACAACUGCAACAACAACAACAAAAAAAAUAGCUGGGCAUUGUGGCGGGUGCCUGUAGUCCCAACUACUUGGGAGGUUGAGGCAAGAGAAUUGUUUAAGCCCAAGAGUUUGAAGUUGCUGUGAGCUGUGAUUCCACAGCACUCUACCGAGGGUGACAUACUGAGACUAUUAAAAAGAAAAAAGUAUGUUGAAGAAAUAAAAGAUGACACUCCUUAGCUAGAUCUCCAGUAAGAGAGACAAAUAAAAGAAAUAUUUGAAAAAAGAACAAGAAUUCUCUAAAAGAAAGAUUGAAAUCCUGAGAAUAAAUUUGUACGAGGAGUUUCAAAUGGGAUAGAGAAUAAAAACUUACACUCUUUAUAGUGAAAUUUAGGAUUAUAAAUACCAUCUUUUAAAUUUCCAGAAAUAAAGAUCAGUUAUGAAGAAGAAUCAGAUUGAUAUUAGAUAUAUGAAUUAAAAAACUAUACGUGGAAUGAUAACAGCUUAAUUUUGUACAAAAUAUUGUUAACAAAAUUUUACAAUAGUGUUAAAGAAAGUUGACAUCACGUAGUUUGACAUCUGUACUAAAACAAGAACUAAAAGUAUAUGUUUGGGCUCAGUGCCUGUAGCUCAAGCAGCUAAGCUGCCGGCCACAUACACCAGAGCUGGUGGGUCUGAAUCCAGCCUGGGCCUGCCAAACAGCAAUGACAACUACAACCAAAAACUGGCUGGGCAUUGUGGCGGGCACCUGUAGUCCCAGCUACUUGGGAGGCUGAGGCAAGAGAAUCACUUAAGCGCAGGAGGUGGAGGUUGCUGUGAGCUGUGAUGCCAUUGCAUGCUACCCAGGGUAACAGCUUGAGCCUUUUUCUCAAAGUAAUAUGUUUGAAAACAAGACACUUUCAUGGGAAUUAAACAUACUUCGACCUGUACAGCGAUAAACAUUAUUGGUGUUAAAUGCAGCUAAAAUAGUAGUUUGAGCUAAAUUUAUAAUUUUAUGUUUAUUAGAAAAUAUUGAAAACAAGUCAUAAAAACACCAAAAUGAGACUAGAAGUCAAUGAAAUAAAGAAUAACAGUUUAAAAAGAAUAAUAAAAAAGAAUAACAAAACCAAAAGCUGGCCUUGAAAGACUAGUAAGAGGUAAAGACUAGUAAGAGGUAAAAUUGAUUAGUAAAAAAGAAUAAAAUGCAAAUAAACAUAGAAUGAGGAAGGAGCUAUGACUAUAAUUACCACAAAGCAUUAAUAAAAAAUAAACUAACAAUUAUUGAAAACUUAGAAAACAUGGAUAAGUUCCUAGGAUAACAAAAAAAGUAAAAAUUGGCAAAAUAACUGAAUAUACUGAUAAAUAUUAAUGUUUAAAUAGUGAUAAAAGACAACCCCUUCUUAUGAGUCUCAAACUCAUUUUUCUUUUUUUUUUUGUAGAGACAGAGUCUCACUGUACCGCCCUCGGGUAGAGUGCCGUGGCAUCACACAGCUCACAGCAACCUCUAACUCUUGGGCUUACGCGAUUCUCCUGCCUCAGCCUCCCGAGUAGCUGGGACUACAGGUGCCCGCCACAACGCCUGGCUAUUUUUUGGUUGUAGUUUGGCCGGGGCUGGGUUUUGAACCCGCCACCCUCGGCAUAUGGGGCUGGCGCCCUACUCACUGAGCCACAGGCACCGCCCUCAAACUCAUUUUUAUAAAAAAAAAUACUAUGUUAAAAAGUUUCAAGGCUGCCCAGGCACAGUGGCUCAUACCUGUAAUCCUAGCACUCUGGGAGGCUGAGGCAGGUGGAUUGCCUGAGCUCACAGGUUCAAGACCAGACUGAGCAAGAACAAGACUGCCUCUAAAAAUAGCCAGGCUUUGUGGCUAUAGUCCCAGCUACUCGGGAGGCUGAGGCAAGAUCACUUGAGCUCAAAAGUUUGAGGUUGCUGUGAGCUAUGAUGGCACAGCACUCAACCAAGAAUGACAAAGUGAGACUAUCUCAAAAAAAAAAAAAAAGUUUCAAAGAAUAGAUAAUCUUUAAAAAGUUGUAAAAAAUAGUGAAAAGAGAAAGACUUUAACCACACUUCAGUAAGUAAUAGUUCUACCGAACUAUUUGUGGAUUGGUGGGGAAAGAAGCAUAAUUGGAGCAGAUUGAGGAGAGAAUGGAAAUAUAUAGACCCUCCUGAGUUAUGUCCACUUAGAAGAAAGCAGUUGAACAUGGAAAAGAAGCAUCUUUAUUUUCUCUGCACCGGAGAAGAGACGAAUAAGUAUGAAUUAUCUUUAGAAAGAGGAGAUACCAUACCCAGUUCCCAUGAGAUAUUUGUGGUCUGAAGUGUGGGAAAUGCUGCUCAAUUUCUUGGAGGAAAAUCCGAAGUUAGCCCUAGAACUUUAAUCUUUUUUAUUGAUUCUGCCAAGUUGGAGGUUUUAGAGAAUAAAGUGAUUUAUGCCCCCCCCCCCAAAAAAAGUGUGAGCGAUUGUAAAUUGGUUUCAUAAUAGUACUGAGUACAGGGUGGCGCCUGUGGCUCAAGGCGUAGGGCGCCAGUCCCAUAUGCCAGAGGUGGUGGGUUCAAACCCAGCCCUGGCCAAAAACCACACACAAAAAAAGUACUGAGUACAUAGGAUAUUUUUUCUUCCAUUCUUGAGAUACUUUACUAGGAAGGAUAUGUUCCAGCUCCAUCCAUGUAAACGCAAAAGAGGUAAAAUCUCCAUCUUUUUUAAGGCUGCAAAAUAUUCCAUGGUGUACAUAUACCAUAAUUUAUUAAUCCAUUCGUGGGUCAAUGGGCACUUGGGCUUCUUCCAAGACUUGGCUAUUAUGAAUUGAGCUGCAAUGAACAAUCUGGUGCAAAUAUCUUUGUUAUGAAGUGAUUUUUGGUCUUUUGGAUAUACACCUAGUAGAGGAAUUGCAGGAUCAAAUGGCAGGUCUACUUUUAGAUCCCUGAGUAGUCUCCGUAUUUCUUUCCAAAAGGGACAUAUUAGCUUACACUCCCACCAGCAGUGCAGAAGUGCUCCCUUUUCUCCACAUCCAUGCCACCGUGAGUAGUUGUGGGAUUUUUGUUACGUGAGCCAGCUUACAGGAGUUAGAUGAUAUCUCAAAUUGGUUUUGAUUUGCAUUUCUCUGAUGAUUAAAGAUGAGUAUUUUUUCAUGUGUCUGUAGGUCAUGCACCUAUCUUCUGCAGAGAAGCUUCUGUUCAAGUCCCUUGCCCAUGAUGAAAUGGGAUUACUUGUUCUUUUCUUAUUAAUAAGUUUGGGUUCUCUGUGGAUUCUGGUUAUCAAACCUUUGUCAGAAGCAUAACCUGCAAAUACCCUCUCCCAUUCUGAGGGCUGUCUGCUUGCUUUACUUACUGUGUUCUUAGCUGGCCUUUUAAUUUGAUCAGAUCCCAGUAAUGUAUGUUUGGUGUUGCUUCAAUUGACUGGGGGGGGGGUCCUCCUCAUAAAGUAUUCUCCCAGGCCAAUUUCUUCAAGUAUUUCUCCUGCACUCUCUCCAAGAAUCUUUAUAGUUUCAUGUCUUAAAUGUAAAUCUUUUAUCCAGUGAGAGUCAAUUUUUGUUAAUGAUGAAAAGUGUGGGUCCAGUUUCAGUCUUCUACAAGUCACCAGCCAAUUCUUCCAGCACCAUUUGUUAAAUAGGGAAUCUUUCCCCCAAUUUAUAUUCUUGAUAGGCUUAUCAAAGAUCAAAUGACUAUAAGUGUCUGCAUUCAUCUCUUGGUUCUCAAUUCCGUUCCAUACAUCUACCUAUUUUUGUGUCAAUACCAUGCUGUUUUGAUCACUAUAGAUUUAUAGUAUAGUUUGAAGUCUGGUAGCAUGAUUCCUCCUGAUUUGUUUUUAUUUCUGAGUAAUGUCUUGGUUUUUUCUGGUUCCAUAUAAAACGAAGUACAAUUUUUUCAAGAUCUUUAAAAUAUGACGGUGGUGCUUUGAUAGGGAUUGCAUUAAAUUUGUAAAUUGCUUUGGGUAAUAUGGACAUUUUAACAAUGUUGAUUCUUCCCAGCCAAGAGCAUAGUAUGUUUUUCCAUUUGUUAACAUCUUCAGCUAUUUCUUUUCUCAAAGUUUCAUAAUUCUCUUUAUAGAGAUCUUUCACAUCCUUUGUCAGGUAAAUUCCCAAAUAUUUCAUCUUCUUUGGCACAACUGUAAAGGGAAUAGAGUCCUUGACUGUUUUUUCAGCUGAACUAUAUUAUUGGUACAUAUAAAAGCUACUGAUUUGUGAGUACUGAUUUUGUAUCCUGAUACGCUACUGUAUUCCUUUAUCACUUAUAAGAGUUUCGUGGUUGAGUCCCUGGGGCUUUCCAGAUAUACAAUCAUAUCAUCUGUGAAGAGGAAAGUUUGUUUUCCUCUUAUUCUAUUUGUAUACCCUUGAUCGCCUUCUCUUGCCUGAUUAUGAUGGCUAAGUCUUCCAUCACAAUGUUAAGAAGCAGUGGAGACAAUGGGCAUCCUUGCCUGGUUCCUGAUCUGAGUGGAAAUGUUUUCAAUUUUACUCUAUUCAAUAUGAUAUUGGCUGUGGGUUUGCUGUAGAUGGCCUCUGUCAGUUUAAGAAAAGUCCCUUAUAGAUCUAUUUUCUUAAGUGUUCUGAUCAUGAAAGGAUCCUGGAUAUUGGCAAAAGCUUUUUCUGCAUCUAUUGAGAGAACCAUAUGGUCUUUGUUUUUUAGUUUAUUUAUGUGAUGUAUUAUAUUUAUAGAUUUAUGUAUAUUGAACCAAUCUUGAGACUAUGUAUAUUAUACCAAUCUUGAGACCCUGGGAUAAAACCCAUUUGGUCAUGGUGUAUAAUUCUUUUGAUGUAUUGCUGGAUUCUGAUUGCUAGGAUCUUAUUGAAUAUUUUUGCAUUUAUAUUCAUUGAAGAUAUUGGUCUAUAGUUUUCUUUUUUUGUUGGGUCUUUUCCUGUUUGAGGGAUCAAGGUGAUAUUUGCUUCAUAAAAUGUGUUGGGAAGUAGUCUUUCUUUUCUGAUGUUUUGGAAAAUGUUAAGUAAUGUAGGUACUAGUUCCUCUUUAAAGGUUUGGUAGAAUUCUGAUGUGAAGCCAUCUGGUCCUGGACUUUUCUUUUUUGGGAGAUUUCCUAUAGUUGAUUCUAUUUCAGUACUCAAUAUAGGUCUGUUCAGCAUUUCCAAUUCUUUCUGACUAAGUCUAAGAAGUUGGCAUGCUUCCAAAUAUUCAUCAGUUUCUUUCAGAUUUUCAUAUUUCUGAGAAUGAAGUUUUUGUAGUAUUCAUUAAGGGUUUUUUGAAUUUUCUUUGAGAAAAAGAACCUUUGGGGUGUCUGUUGUUAUUUUUCCUUUGUCAUUUCUGAUUGAUAUUAUUGACUUUAAUUUUCUGUUUUUGGUUAGGUUGGCCAAAGGUUUAUCAAUCUUGUUGAAUUUUUCAAGAAACAACUUUUUGAUUCAUCGAUCUUUUGAAUAAUUCUUUUGUUUUUGAUUUCAUUUAAUUCUGCUCUAAUUUUAGUUAUUUCUUUUCUUCUGCUGGGUUUGGGGUUGGAGCCAGAGAACAGUCACCAGUCAUGGGCCACAUGGGUCACAGGAGCUAGGUGGGAGUCUCCUGCAUGGGCCACAGGUUGAAGCCAGCAGGAGUCGCUGGCCAUGGGCCGUGGGUUGCAGGGGCCAGGUGGAAGUUGCUGGCUGCGGGCUGCGGGUCUCAGAAGCCGGGCAGGAGUUGCUGGCCAUGACCCACAUGGGUCACAGGAACUGGGAGGGAGUUGCCAGCUGCAAGCCACAGGUUGCAGGAGCCAGGCGGGAGUUCCCUGCCAGGGGUCACUGGUGGCAGGAGCCCAGAGGGGAGCUGAGCCACCCACCACGUUCUGUCGAGCCGGGACCCAGUGGGCUGUAGUCCCCAGUGGUCCUGGUCAGUAGUGUGGUUACCAAGCAAUGCUCUUUCCAGCAGGGCCAAGUCUUUCUCCUCUUGUGACUCCCCACCUCUAUUAAAGUUACAGUUUCAGUGCAACUGUCCUACAGCUCAUGAGGUGCCCUGCCCUAGCAAAAGUCUGCCAAAUGCUCUGGAUUUUGUUGGGGGUAGUCUUCCAGACUGCUAGGAGAGGUGGGAGGGGUGGAUUGGGAGUUAAAGAAGGUAGGGAGAAUACCAGAUCAACUUUUGGCACAGUCAAGAGACUGCCUGGGCUUGCAGAAGUAUCUCUCCAUGGAGGGAGUCCCAGCCUUCAGUGUUCUCUCCCGUUUGGUAAAACAAAAGGUCCUCUGUUCUCUACUCACCUCAAGCGGCUCUCCUGGGUUGGGGGGAAGGGGAAGGAUUUCCGUCCUCUUUGGGAUGGGUGUUGUACCUGAAAAUUGUUUCCUUUGAGUCCCAGCUUGUUGCAGCAGGGGUAAUGUGAACCUAUUGAUCUUCUCUCUCAGCUCAGCUCCCGAUCCUCUGCUUUAUUGGGUUAUUUCUGGCCGUUAUUUCUCCUUCUGGAUAGGAGCCUCUGCUGAAAGCUGGCUUCAGUUGGCCAUCUUGCCUCCUUCUUGAGUGUUCUGUGCUUCACUUCUCAUCACACCUGGGCAGGGUGCACAGCCCCCAGGUGUGCGGGAACCCAAGAGCAGGCCACCAGGAUGGGAACAAGCUUCAGCCCUGUGGACCUUAUUCCUUGGCAGCCCAGUCUCCCUCACGGGCAGAGGCAGCCAACAGCUCCUUCCUGCCUUGCUGCCCCGCUCCUGGAGCCAGUCCCUGGCUUGCUAAACCAGCUGUGGGAAGCGCACCCCUUAGGGGCAGAGCAAGGCCAUGGUUCCUGGUGCGUCCCUGCUUCCUCGCCUCUGCCCCCAGAGCUCCUCUGCCCCAGCUCCUGAUUUAUGAAUUUUAAUGCAAAAAUCUAAAGCAUUAACUUACUAAAUAAUACAAGUUUAACAAUGCAAAGAUGGUACAAUGUCAGCAAUUUUAUUAAUGUAACUUAUCACUUUAACAGAGUGAAGAUAAAAGUAAUGUGCCUAUCUCAAAAGAUGCAAGAAAAAACAUAAUAAAUUUUAAAACAUUUCUAAUAAAAAUUCUCAAAUAGC